UGCAUGAAACUUUGGUAAUCAACGUCCAUGAUUAUAUAUUUAUUUAUUUAUGAAAUCAGACGUCUGUAACUUUUAUGGAUUCUCUUCUUCUUCUUCCUCCUUCCUCCCCCAAGUUUCGAGCUAAAUAGUAGAUGUCAAUCCCAAAUCAAUUUCAAUUCAAAAAUUCCACAAAAACUAAACCCAAUCCUCACACCCAGAUCUCGAUGCCUUUUCUUUGUCAUCUCAAUCAAUAAUCACCGCCGUCACCAGAUGAAAGAAGGGGGCAGGGAAGAAGAAGAAGUAGUAGGAAUCUGAAACGGGAAUAAGAAGAAGAGGAAGAGAUGUUGAUGGGGAGAGAGAAAAAUCAAGCCAGAAUCACCGCCGACAUCCUCGCCGGAUCUGACCUUGCCAUCGUCGCUGAGUCCCAUCCCUGUCGUGAACCUGUUAGAACUCCAUCAUUACCUCCCUCCUAUACUUUGCCUCCAUCGCCCCCUCGUCUUCUUCACCAUGGAGAUGGGUUUCGACACUCCUCCUCUGUCCAUGACCAUGGAGAUCUGGACUGGGCGGGACCUGCUCAUGAUAGGACCCGCCCAAAGUUAGACCUUGGCGUCACUAUAGGACAACUCGGCGAGACCUCCAUAGGGCGAUCAACUCUCUGGGCUGAGGAUUUUUUAGGCCCAAAGGCCCAACUAGUAUAACAUUAGGAUAUUGGACCAUCCCACUAUAAAAGGGGAGGUCAUUUAUUGUAAAAAUGAUCUUUAAUUUCCAUUAUUAUAUUACACUCUUAUUUUCUCAUAGAUUUGUCUGCCAGGGUUUUGGAUUAGGUCUCUUCUUCAUGUCAGAUCUAGAUCCUGAACAUUGACGUUGUCUGUGUGUGGCUCACCAUAGCCAUGGAAAUUCCUUCGUGUUCUUGCUGAGUGGAGUAGUCACGUCAAUCAAACUAAUGAAUCAAAGGAAACGUAGCAGUAGCUGAAGUAGAUGAAAGCACGUUCAAUCAUCUUCACCUUCAUCAUGAUGGAUUCAACUUUGGAAGCAGUAACUGUCUCGACGAUGACGAAUUUGUGGGUGCUGAACAUGUAGGAUUAGAAAUCAAAGAGCACGCCAAAGUUCCUCUCGCCGUUUCUGGAUCUGAUUCCUCUGUAAUGCUCUUGAUCUUCAGCACAGUGUUCGACAAGGCUCACCCUACUCUUCGCGUCGCUUUGAAUGGAGUGGAAGGAGGAAACAGUUUUGGUUUCGGGGGAAUGCGGCCUACACCACGCUUCUGGUUGAGAAAGAGAGAAGCAGAUUAGAUCAAGGAAAAGGAGUAGAUGACUCGAGACACACCAACUGCUCGAUGAAACGCUUCAGAGAAAUAUUCAUUCUAACUCAGACUCUUCCAUUUCUCUAUAUUGCUUUCAAUGUUUAUACUGAAGGAUGCUUGCUAACUGUUUGAUGAAAUGACUAAGAGGAUUUUCCUCAAUAAUUUUGUUCUAGUUUUCAUGCAAGCUAAAUGUUUGAUGAAGUGCUCAACUUGAAUUUGCUUUAAUUUCAAUACUUUGCUUGAGUGUUCUACUUCUGGUAUGAAUCUCUUAAUUUUAAAGUGUGUUCUCUGAUGAUAUCUUAAAGUCAGAAUUAACAUACAGUAAGGACUCAAAUGAGAAAGACCAUGUUGAUGUUAACUAACAAUAUAAUGUGUUGAUAUAAUUUUGGUGAUAAUUAAAAUUAAAAUAGAAGAAUAGUUUCCUAUAAGAAAAUGGGAUUGAUAGCAUUUGUUGCAGGGACCUCCUAUCUAAAGGGGGAUACAGUCAGCUUUUGAGACAAUUAUCCAGUAGGUUUCUGUGACAAAGAAAUUGUUGCAAUAAAAGUUGUUGUUAUGAGCUUAGUUCCAUUAUUUUGUUUCAUGUUUAAUUGGUUGUUUUAUUCGCUAAUUGGCAUCACGCAUCAACUUGUGGGAGUUUUCUUGACUCUUUGUUUCUUCUAGAGCAUUAAUAAACACUUUUUUGGUGACUGUUUACUGUUUGGACCCAGGGUUGCUGAUUACCUCUUUAUUUUGGAUACUCAUGAGGAGCAUGAGACCAUAAAUGGGGGAGUAAAUGAGGUGAAAGGGCCAACAUUGCAACUUAAUGAUAGUUCCAGCAGUCAAAAAUAUUACUGGGUAUUGAGGAAGAUAAGGAUACCUCUAAGGAGAACAAUGCUUGUGGGGGAUUUGCUGCAUAAGAAGAAUGCAAGAAAUCUGGAGCUGAGAUAUCACAUUCCCCUUUUAAUUCUCGUUUGCUUUCCUCACAUAAUUAUUCAAAUGAUUGAUGUUAACAAUGAAUAACUUACUUCACAUUUAGUUGAGCAAGAAUUUUGGUUAAUUUGGAAGCUUCUUUAUCUUGUUUCCUCAAAUGUCAGAUAUGAGAGUUUUCCAUGAUUUGGUGUAUUGAAAAUGGCUUAUAUCUGGGCUACUCUUGCUUCAGGUUUUAAUUUAUAACUUUACAUGUUUGCUGGAUAUGUGAGUUUUACACUUAUGUGACAAAAUCUUCACUUGAAAUUGGGUCAAUGUUAUCUUAAAUCUGCUGCUUACCCGUUAGAUUCUGGGCUUUUUCACUGUCCAAUUUUUCUUACUUUGGUCGAUGGCUGUGUAAUUUUUUGGAUCAUUCUUUGGUUAGUUAUGAUUCAUUGAGAGAUUGGAAAUUAAUGAAGGAUGUUUGAUGUUGAUUUCUCCUGCUUCGAUUUAAGUGGGGUAACAAGAGCUCAUGCUCCUUAACUCUCAAAGAGAGUACAACUAGUUUUCUGUUAAAUUGAAUAUUGCUUCUGCACAAUCUGCAUGCUGCCUGUUUUGAUUAAGAUUAAGAUUUUCAAUUGAUUAUUUAGGAAACUCUAAAUUUUCUUUUGAUAAUGAUACUUUGAAGAACAAUCCUGCAGAUUUAAUUUAAUGAACUUUUGGAAAGUGUUUAAUUUUAGAAGAUGUUAUAUAUCAUUAUAUGAAUCUGAACUGCUUGAGUUACAAAAUAUAAAUGAGCUUCAACCUUGAUGAAUAAGGUAGUUUUAGAGGUGAUUUUAUAGAAGUUACCUUUGCUAAUGGUUUGUUAUAUUUCCUGUAAGAAAGGUUCUUGAACAGAUGUUAAGGUAUGUCAGCCGUGUGAUCUGAAACUUGUUACAUUGAUCUUGAUGUAUUUGUUGUCACUUUACCAUAUAUGAACAAAACAAGUAAGCUUAUCAUGUUUUGAUGGAGAACCUAUGAUGUAGUAAAUUCACAUUUCCAUAUGUUUAAAAUUUACUUUGCUGUGACUCCUAUGCACAUAGCAAUCCCUCCUGCUGAAUGGAAUGGUUUCUUAUCUUAAGUAUAUGUUGGUCGUUUCCUGUUUAUGUUGACAAUUUCAUAUUGAUUUGUGAUUGGCUUCUUUGAUUGUUUUAACGGGGUCCUACAGUCAAUCCAUGAUGUUUCAAUGCAAGAAUGAUAUGUUCUUCAUAUGUUAAAUGUUUAAAGUGUUCCCCAAAUAACUACCACAUGUUUGAAAAAUUCUCUAUGUGAGUUCAAAAGAAAUUAAGGAUAUUAUGACAGCAUAUGCUUUAUGUGCUUGACAGUAAAUUUGUCUUGAUGCUCUAAAACGUCUUUACUCUAAUCAACAUAUAUUCGUUUACUCCAUAUUGUCAUUAAAAUUCUUGACUAAUUCUAUCUCUUUUUCUUCAUAUGUUCAUGAUUGAUGAGGAGAAGCUCAGGCCUGUGUCAUGCAAAAAGUGCAUAGUGUGGUCAAGGUUCACCUUUCAAGUGAUUAAUAAUAUGCCUCACUCGGGACAGGGAAGUUUCAAGAAUUUUCUUGCAAGUGGUUAAAUUUACAUGUUCCCUAUUCUGUGUCAUUUCUCCUUGAAUGAUAGCACUGAUAAAAAGCAUACUUGAUAAUCACAAAUCUGAUUCACUUGUUGAUAAAGUGGGAAGUUGAAAUGUAUGUGAUUGCUUAUUUCUAUACACUUCUAUUGCUUAAGUGUCAAAGCAUUAGGCUGGUUCAUGUAUAAAUGACAUAAAGGUGAAAUUAUUUGGCUUUGGGCACAUAUUAUUUUAGCAUGCUAGUUGACUUGUGGGAAAACUACCUUGUAAUUUUUAGGGAGAACUUAUGUUAUUCUUUAUAUAUGUCGUGUUUGUUUAUUUUCUUCAAGGUAGGGGAAUAAAACACAAGUGUGCAAGAGAAAAUAAUGCUUUGAUAUGCUGAAAUCAGUUUUCCUCUUGGGAGAGAAAAUAAGUGAUCUAUUGAUAAAGAAAUGAAAUAUUGCACUGCUUGUCAUAUUUAGGUUGAAAUAUUCAUUUCAGUUCUUGGUUCUGAAUUUAUGCAAACAACUUGGGAAAACUGAUUAACAAGAUUUACCUUAAAGUGUUCUCAUUGAAAUAUUAAUGCUUGCUACUUGCUCAUUGAAAUUGUUGGAUGACUCUUCUUUAAAUUUCAUUACCAGCUAUUUAGUGUAAUAGCCUAAUGACUAAUGCUCCGAUUUUUCAUCUAAACUUGGAUAUAAAUCAAUAUCAUAGUGAUUUGAUAGUUUUCCUCAUAUUUCUGCUGAGUUUUGGAAGAAUAUAUCUUGAUGAGCUCUUAAAUAAAUGCAUAAACUGAUAUGGGAUCAGGUUUUAGGACACUAAUCCAACUUUUCAUCUUUCUAAUAUGUUGGUUAUAUACCUCAAUAGGGGCCACAUGAUUGUUCAUAAAUAUGAAUAUGUCCUUACAAGGCUGUUGGACUCUUCUUUCAAGAAAGAAAAUUUUCAUAGUCGAUAUCUGAAAUUUACUAUUGAUGUUACACUGCCUACUUAACUGUUUUAAUUCUCUACACCAUUUAUUUCUCAGUUUUACUCAUGUUAUCAGCCUUGGCCUUCAUAUACCAUGCUAUUUCAUAAAUCUAAGACUUUGAACAAAAAUCAUGUUUGUUGUAUGUUAUAUGGAGCUAUGAGAAAUUGGCAAUGUUUGGGGAUGAUGAAAAUAUCAUUUAAACUCUGUAAAUCAGCUCUAAAAAUGGUCCUAUUUUAGGCUAUUUUGUGUUCAGCUUUAAUUCAUAGUUUUUGUUAAAUCUUACCAUUAUUAUGAAAGUGGAUUGAACAUGUAAUGAUUCAAUUAGUAUGGUAAUCUCACAUCUACAUUUAUUGUGAAUAUUGAACAGGUAUUUAUUCUUUUAUCCUGGGCUUUUAAAAAAGCGAUAUUUGAAGCUUCACGUAUUUCUCUUUGGGUUUAGUUUGGAAUCUAGAAUAUGUUUUAGGUGCUUGACACCUUGGUGAAAAAUCACAUUGUUAUUACCUUGCUGAGCUUAUGUUGUUCCUUAGAUCCUUUAUUUGCCUUGAUAUUUACAUCUGCAAGCUAAGGGAACAUAGUUCUGAUCAUGCAUAUUGCAAGAUCUGGAAAAUUCUAGUUUUAACAACCAAAAUUAUGCUUGGCGUCCCACCAACAUCAAUUUAAGGAGGCAAACUGGUUAGUAGCUGACUGUUUGGUUGCUUUAUUAAGCUUAAAAGAAGUGGAGGAUAGAAAAGGAUUGGGGUGAAGAAGCUCAAUUUCGUGGAUGGUUAUGAGACAGAAGUGCAACAGGGAAAUUUGAGCAUAACUUUUAUGUAGAUGGUGAUGUCAUUAAGCAUGUCACUAAGCAACGCCCAUGACAAUCAAAAUGGUACUGCUCACAAAGAACCUGAGUUUUCAAAAAGAGGGAGAUUGAGAGUGGUUUGAUUAAUCUGAAAGCAAAAUUAUAGAGAAUGGUGUUGUUGCAGCUCCAUUGUUGUGUAACAGUCUCUUUAUUAUGCUUGUUAUGGAUUGGAACUUAGAGAAGAGAAUAAGUGGUUGACAAAGUGGUUAAGUCUUUACACUUUAUGUAUGAAGUUCAAAUGAUCAUGUAUCUCUUCUCAAAUUAAUUAGUGGAAUGUUAAAGCAUGUGGCUUCAAUCUUUUUAUGAAAUGCUGGUGAGCUCCAUCUCUUGCAAUGUACUUUAUGUUAAUAUGAUAGAAGUAGAUGUUGAAAAUAACCAAUUUGGCAUGCUGAGUUUGCAUAUCUAAUAAGCUGACUUUGAUUUUUUGUUCUAAAGAUUAUUCAUGAUGCUUCUCUUCAAAUGUGAUUACCAAGAAUUAGCAUGUUUUGGGAAGAUCAAUUCAAUGGUAUGCUCUCACUUUAAUGACAUAUUCUAAAUUUCCCUCAUACCAAAUAUUAUGUGAUAUCAAAGGGAAGCUAUUAAGCUCGCCUAUAGCAUGUUGUUGACGAGCAAUGUGAGAUGGGCGGGCUAAGUGACAUAUUGAUAAGCAAGUAGGUUGAGGAAAAGGAAAGGAAGAUGCAGUCGAGGCAUCCCUUCUUGUUACAACAACUUGUUACAACAAGUUGUAACAUGAUAUAUCAACAAAAGGGGGGGGGGGGAAGAAAACAAGAAAAUUGCAGUUAUCUCAGGUCGCCCAUGGGCGGGAAUUGAUUAUGUUUGUUUCCAAACUAUAGUGCGCAAUGAAAAAAGAAAGAAAAAGAAAAAAAAACUGAAAAAGAAAAUAGAAGAGAAAAAAAAAAAGAAGAAAACAAGAAAAUUGCAGUUAUCUCAGGUCGCCCAUGGGCGGGAAUUGAUUCUGUUUGUUUCCAAACUAUAGUGCGCAAUGACAAAAUGUCAAAGGUACAAGCUACCACGUGUAAGACUUUCGCAAUAAGAAAGCGUCAACACUGAGCAUACACAGCCUUGGCAAUUCUAGUGGCCACUAGAAACCAAGCCCCGUCUGUAAAAGGACUAAGACCAGUAAAAUGUGCCUAAGCCUUGAAUUUAAAUCGAGCAAAUGAAUGUAAAGCCUCACCAUGGCGAGCCAAGUCUCGGUAAAUUUAGCACCAAAAAAAAAGAAGAAGAAUAGAGAAUUUGGCAAAGGGUUUGAAUCUCUUGUUGCAGGUGAUACUCAAAUGAAAUAAUGUGGGCAAAAGACACGCCCAACUUCCAAAGAAGGGAUGUACUCAUUCAAAAGGAGGCGACCUAUAAGAAAGGGAAGUCGAUGCAAAAUAAAGCAUAGUUUGGCAUCUUCUAUACUUUCACAUUUUUGCAUUUUCUGGAAUGACUGAAAUAUGGUUAAGUUCUUAAAAGAAUUGUUGCUUAGUUCAAGGUGACAAGAUUAAAGAAUAUAAUUAUUCACAUUUGAUUGUUUAAGUAUUUCUAUGAUAUGUAAUUUCAUAUAUACAAGUUUUCUUGUUCAUAUAAGAUGAAUGAUAGUUUUCUUGUUCAUUUAAGAUGGAUGAGAGAGAAAGAGCAACGCCCAAGGAGUUCAAAAUACUAUAAUUCGCCAUAAAGAGGUGAUUAAGCAUGAUGAUUAUAAUUGUUGGAAAAGCUAAUCAUUAUUUUCAAGUUGACACAUGUGAAAGACAGGUAACAGGUCACACAAAGCGUGACGAUCUACUUUAGAAAUGCGAGCAUGACUUGAGGCGAGCAUGAUUUGAUUGGCGAGCUUCAUGGCAAGUCUUGAGGGACACCAUGCAAUCAUGGACAGGCGAGACACUAAAGACACUUUGCCUUCAUGCUUCAGACGCAGUAUCUUGUGGGCUGGUCAGAUACUUCCCAAACUCAAUUUCCGGCGGACCACCUCCUGAGGCGUAGACGGUUCAGUGACGCUUAUGAUUAUUAGUCGCCCCUUUUGUCGGGUUGUAUAUUUAUUAAGCCAUUGUUGUCACUUAAUUUUAUUAGGUGCCCCUUGCGGCGGGUUGUAUGUUUAUGACGCCAUGUUGGCGACCUAUAUGCUUUAUAGUGACUUAUAUGCUUUGUAGAGGGCGAGCUUUAUUGCCCAAGUCGAGAUUAGAGCAAUGUAGCUUGGAAGACUAGUUGUGGGGGGACAUCCUGGGUUAUUGGUCGUGACCGCCAAUCGAAGGGUUAUCUCUAUAACAAGUCAUCCAAGGGUGGCAUAUGUUCAUUAAGACUUGAGACAAUUAAGACACUUUGCCCUCAUACUUCGGGCGCGUGUCUUGUAGGCUUGUGGACUAGGCGGGACCUGCUCAUGAUAGGACCCGCCCAAAGUUAGACCUUGGCGUGACUAUAGGACAACUAGGCGAGACCUCCAUUGGGCGAUCAACUCUCUGGGCCGAGGAUUUUUGAGGCCCAAGGGCCCAACUAGUAUAGCAUUAGGAUAUUGGACCAUCCCACUAUAAAAAGGGGAGGUCAUUUAUUGUAAAAAUGAUCUUUCCAUUAUUAUAUUACACUCUUAUUUUCUCCUAGCUUUGUCUGCUAGGGUUUUGGAUUA